GACGAACGCUGGCGGCGUGCCUAAUACAUGCAAGUAGAACGCACAGUUUAUACCGUAGCUUGCUACACCAUAGACUGUGAGUUGCGAACGGGUGAGUAACGCGUAGGUAACCUGCCUGGUAGCGGGGGAUAACUAUUGGAAACGAUAGCUAAUACCGCAUAAUAUUGAUUAUUGCAUGAUAAUUGAUUGAAAGAUGCUAUUGCAUCACUACCAGAUGGACCUGCGUUGUAUUAGUUAGUAGGUGAGGUAACGGCUCACCUAGGCGACGAUACAUAGCCGACCUGAGAGGGUGAUCGGCCACACUGGGACUGAGACACGGCCCAGACUCCUACGGGAGGCAGCAGUAGGGAAUCUUCGGCAAUGGACGAAAGUCUGACCGAGCAACGCCGCGUGAGUGAAGAAGGUUUUCGGAUCGUAAAGCUCUGUUGUAAGAGAAGAACGGGUGUGAGAGUGGAAAGUUCACACUGUGACGGUAUCUUACCAGAAAGGGACGGCUAACUACGU
rnacentral:rRNA from 1 species